rnacentral:rRNA from 1 species
CUUUUAUUAUGUUGGUGUAUAUCUGGUUUGAUAUUAUUGCUUAAUAGCUUAAUUUGUGUAUUUGUUAUUUAAGCCAAGUCUAUGUGCUGCUUGUAAAAGGUUUCAUGCGUUACAUUUAUAAGUUUGGUUAUGUAAUUAACUUUGUAAAUUGAGGACUUAAAAGUAAUGUAGAAUAAGUUUGUUUACAUGAAAAGGGUUUA